rnacentral:lncRNA from 1 species
UGCAAUAAGUUAAUAACAUAUAACUUAAGUACUAACUUAUAAUAUUCAAUAAUGCUUAAAGUGUGUAAAAUAAACUUAAAUAAUAUGUAGGUAUAUUUAUAAUCUAAAACUCCAUAACUCACGUUAAUGUUUCACAUUCUUUUUGUGAGAAUUACAUAAAAAGUGCCUUUUUAACAAGUGUAAAACCAGGGGGUUAAGGGUUUCAGGAAGGUCUAGAUCAGGUUUAAUUAACAGCAAAAACUAACUAAUUAAAUGUAAAAAUUAAACACUGCUUAGUCUUCACCAUAUGAAUUAAAUAUACACUGAUUCUUAUUAAAGUCCCCCUCUAGUCAAAUAUUAAAACCUAUCUUUGAUCAUCAAAAUGACAUUUAAAAAAAGUAUUCUUGUGAAAAUAAUCUUCUCAUGCCUUAAAAUAGCUUAAAUUUAACUCUACACCCUUGCCACAUUUACUAUAUGCUGAUCGAUGAAGAUGCAAAUUAGCCCCACCACCACUCGCACCAGCUAGCGCCUCCUGAUCCACUGAAUUGUAGUAAACGCAAAACAAUGGCAUACAUGGUUAAUGACUGAUAAAACAAUGUUUUUACUAGCAGGCAACUACGGUGAAGUUACUUGAUGUUGUGUCCUAAAAUGCCUUGAAGACUCAAAUGCAGCCUUUUGUGAUUCUUAAUUUGCGCCUGCGAUUAUACGCAUGUGAAGUGCAGAUGCUGAUGCGGAGGAGGAGUACCUUUUACAAAGGUGUCACCAUGAGCUCCCGACCUCCUGACCUCUCCGUGGCUGAGCUGUAUUAGGACUUUGUCAGAACUACAUCUU